AACGAACGCUGGCGGCAUGCCUAACACAUGCAAGUCGAACGAGACCUUCGGGUCUAGUGGCGCACGGGUGCGUAACGCGUGGGAACCUGCCCUUAUGUUCGGAAUAACUCCCCGAAAGGGGUGCUAAUACCGGAUAAUGUCUUCGGACCAAAGAUUUAUCGACCUAGGAUGGGCCGGCGUUGGAUUAGCUAGUUGGUAGGGUAAUAGCCUAUCACGGCGAGAAUCCAUAGCUGGUCUGAGAGGAUGAUCAGCCACACUGGGACUGAGACACGGCCCAGACUCUUACGGGAGGCAGCAGUGGGGAAUAUUGGACAAUGGGCGAAAGCCUGAUCCAGCAAUGACGCGUGAGUGAUGAAGGCCUUAGGGUUGUAAAGCUCUUUUACCCGGGAUGAUAAUGACAGUACCGGGAGAAUAAGCUCCGGCUAACUCCGUG
rnacentral:rRNA from 1 species